rnacentral:lncRNA from 1 species
GGAUUAUUCCGAUCUAAAAAGCCUUCAGUCUCUCUUAAGUGUUCAGUCAAAGAACCAAGAGGUAUUUUUCAAUAACUGUUGUUAAAUGUGCUUUAGAUUUAUGAUUAAUGGUGAUUAUGGAUUCUGGCAUAUGCUUAGAACAUUGCAUUCUGUAAUGAUUAAAACAUGUUAGCAAAAUCUUGAGUAGUGGAUGUCUUUCUUCUUGUCUCUUUUUUUUCUUGGCAAUGUUAGACCUUCUAUGUGGGACAAAUCACAUUUUGAAUGGGUAAAACCAAUCCUCUUCCCAUUCUACUAUAUCAUAUUUUUUUUAUUUUAACAGGAAAAAAUUGCUUUAUUUUCCAUCUUGAGCAGAUUUUAUCCAGCUAUGGUAGCAUAUAGUAAAGUAGCCUAGCAGAUUUGUUUUCCUCUGUGCCCUUUCACAGUGUCACAUGAAGGUAGGCUUAAAGAUGUGUGAGUAACAGCAUGGGGGAGAGUGGUAAAGAAUAUAAAGUAAGAUCAGCAUUUUAACCAUAAACAAUUUGUCUUUGAAGAAUAACACUUGAGCUAAAAAUAUCCAUGGCAUAAAUACCAACUUACAGGAGAAAGUCAAAUCUUCUUCACCUCAACUCACUUAGUGAAGCUUGUAUUUGCCAUUUGAAGUAAAGAAAACCAACACAUGAUGAUGGGUGUGAGUCUUUGGAAUCACAGAACAUUUUCUCCCUUUCAAUGCUGUAAAGAGAUAUGACAAAAUGACUAAAGGAUUCAUCCAUGUGAGGUAGGAGUUAUGUACUUUCUACCUGGUUAGAGGCCUGGAAUUACUUCUGAGCAGAAAGCUGAAACAUGUGAGUUGCACAACCUAAAAAGAAUGUGAAGACUAUGCAAUUAUGGAACUGGGACAGCAUGACCUACAAGAAUGAGAGAAAUUUUAGCAAGCAUCCCAAGCAUCAGCUGUUUCAAGAUAUCUUUACAACUUUAGUUAAGGAGAGUUACCUGCAGGGUAAGAAUCUGAACACUCUUCAGUUGGAAGUUUAUCUGGUGCAAGUGCAGCAGGGAGAAUCCAGGAUCUUCAUUUGUCAGAUGAGCUGAGUCCUGAUGAGAUACAAGAAAGUUUUUUCUCACUUCAAGCAGGUAUAUCAGGUCUAAUAUUUAUAAGGUCUAAUAUUCUGUUAUGUCUUUACAUACAGUUGUGCAAAAGGAUUCAAAAUAUUGCAAAAUUGUAAAUUUUUAUACCUACUUUAGGGAGUAGGAGAAUCAAAUUGGAUUUGUUUAUUUGCAGAUGUGUGAUACCAGCACG